rnacentral:lncRNA from 1 species
GGAGAGAUUGAGGAGCUGGAUCGGAUUCUGAAUAUUUUGGAUCCUCGGUCGUCGGCCUUGGAUCUUCCUUCUUUGCGCCAACUUAUUGUUGAGCGGCAGAGUGUUGCUGUUGCUGUUAGGGAAUCUAUUUUCGAAGAAUGGUCUGGUGGCGAUCUUCCGCCUACCUCUUCUUCUGUUGUCCCUCCUCGUGGCCGACGUCGGAAGCGUCCCCGCCGCGGUGCUUCACCGCUGGAUCAGGUUCCUCGCCGCUUGCGUCGCCGUAUAAAUUUUAAUUAGGAACCUGUAAUGUUCUUCAUUCAUCAUUUUUUGUAAUUUUGAAUAAAUAUACUUUUUUACCUUUUCCUUUACUCGACUUACACCUUUACUCUGAAGUACGUCAGUGUAGUCGAUGCUUUCUUUUGGU